AAGUCGUAACAAGGUUUCCGUAGGUGAACCUGCGGAAGGAUCAUUAAAGAUUGGCCGAAAGGCCUCAUCUCUAUAUCCCUCACCUCUGUGAACUGUGGACCUCUGGGUCUAUUUUAACAAACAUCAGUGUAACGAACGUGUAUAAUAUUAAUAAAACAAAACUUUCAACAACGGAUCUCUUGGCUCUCGCAUCGAUGAAGAACGCAGCGAAAUGCGAUAAGUAAUGUGAAUUGCAGAAUUCAGUGAAUCAUCGAAUCUUUGAACGCACCUUGCGCCUUUUGGUAUUCCGAAAGGCAUGCCUGUUUGAGUGUCAUGAAAUCUCAAUCCCCCCGGGUUUAUGAUCUGGGUUGGGACUUGGACUUGGGUGCUGCCGGUUACAUGGCUCGCCUCAAAUGACUUAGUGGAUCUCUCUGCAUCCGUGACAGACGUAAUAAGUUUCGUCUUGUCCCUUGCUGUCUGAGUCUGCUCCUAACCUGCCAUUGUGCACUUUUAGACUCUGACCUCAAAUCAGGUAGGACUACCCGCUGAACUUAA
rnacentral:rRNA from 1 species